CUGCAUUCAGGCGAUGGGGUUCGCCGAAACCUAUUUGGUAUAAACCGCACGUUAUAAACGUUUGCUGAUAACUCCUACAAAUUG
rnacentral:ncRNA from 2 species